ACCGAAAUAGCUCAGUUGGCAGAGCGUUAGAGUUAGGAGCGAGGGCGAGGGUCCGUGGUUCGAUUCCGGAUUUCGGCA
rnacentral:tRNA from 1 species